GCAUCGGCAGGCGGACUCUCAAUCACUGCGCCACCAGGGAAGCCCAUAUGGAUUGAAAACGAGGAGGAGAAAGCAGCUGUGGAAACCUAAUUCAUGGGAACUUCUUGAAUGUACUCUCAGAUGCCAAUAAAAUCCACUGAGCAAUUUGACAGUC